GUCCUGGCGAGUGUGCAUGUGUGUGAGUGUGCACAUGUGUUUGUGUGACAGUGUGCAUGACACAGAGAAGGGGCUGUGAACGAAAAUCUGUGACGAGUGCGUCUCGUAAGGGAAUUUCGUGGCCACGGAGCAUCUGUUUUCCCUGGCAACCCAAGAUGCCCCGGGCAGCCGUGCCCCGUGGACACACCUGGAUCUGCUCUCCCAGCCACUGGAAUGCAAUAAAUCCAGGCUCUGUUCUGAUGACGAGGAGUCCAAGUACAAACUGUAGCCCGAGGCCCCGGGACACGGCCCUCCAAGGGCUGCACUCAAUCCACUGAGCUACACCAGCCAGGGCCAACAGCCUGAACUUUUUAAGCAUCAAAGCCCAGCCUUUCUGUCUCAGAGCUCACUGGGUCCCGCGGAGGACCGAGCACGCUGGUGUGCGACCAGCUCCCAUUCUGAAAUAGUAAUCAGGGACCAUUUCCGUCCUGCAGUCCCCUUCCCUGCUUUGUCCUUCUCCCCUCCAAGGAGCUAAGCCAGCCUGUGCCUCGAAAAAGCAGUAAGACCGUGGAUCACAGAGGGGGAAACGGCUCUGCCUGGCUUAUGAACUCCCGAAGCCGGGGCUCUGGGAGAAUGGAAAGGUCUUACCUCCUUUCCAUCGGAUGAAAAAUGUGGGAGGAAACAUCCUAAGUGUAAACCCUACCCCCACCCCCCCGCGGCCAGACGAGUUGGAGGACACUGGGUGGAGGGUCCCCACUUGGCUUUCUCCCACCUCUAAUCUCAAAUACACCA